GGGCCCAUAGUUCAGUGGUACAGCAUUUGCUUUGCAUGCAGAAGAUUCUAGUUUCAAUCCCCAGCAACUCCAGGUGGGUCUG